rnacentral:tRNA from 1 species
GUCUUAAUAGUUUAAUUAAAACAAUAGUCUUGUAAACUAUAACUGUAAAUAUUUACUUAAGACU